AUGGCGGCGAGCCUGUGGCGAGCGGUGAUGGGCACCGGCGCCCCGCCCGCGGACGCCACGGACGGCGUCGAGUUCUGGCGCGAGCCGGAGCGCGGCGGGUGGCUGGACAAGCAGGGCGAGUACAUCAAGACGUGGCGGCGGCGGUGGUUCGUGCUCAAGCAGGGGAAGCUCUUCUGGUUCAAGGACUCGACCGUCACGCGCGCCUCCGUGCCCCGCGGCGUCAUCGCCGUCGCCUCCUGCCUCACCGUCAAGGGCGCCGAGGACGUGCUCAACCGCAAGUUCGCCUUCGAGCUCUCCACCCCGGGCGAGACCAUGUACUUCGUCGCCGACUCCGACAAGGAGAAGGAGGACUGGAUCAACUCCAUCGGCCGCUCCAUUGUCCAGCACUCCCGGUCCAUGACCGACGACGAGAUCGUCGACUACGACAGCGGCCGCCCCGCGGCCGGCGGCAAAUCAUAG
rnacentral:rRNA from 1 species